rnacentral:rRNA from 1 species
GACGAACGCUGGCGGCGUGCCUAAUACAUGCAAGUAGGACGCAGUUGCGAACGGGUGAGUAACGCGUAGGUAACUACCUAUUAGAGGGGGAUAACUAUUGGAAACGAUAGCUAAUACCGCAUACUAGUAGAUGGACCUGCGUUGUAUUAGCUAGUAGGUAGGGUAAUGGCCUAACUAGUCAACGAUACAUAGCCGACCUGGAGAGGGGGACGGCCAAACUGGGAAUGGGGAAACGGCCAGACUCCCACGGGAGGCAGCAGGAGGGAAACUUCGGCCAAUGGGGGAACGCUGACCGAGCAACGCCGGGUUAGUGAAGGAGGGUUUCGGAUCGUAAAGCUCUGUUGAGAAGGAAGCGGUACUUAACCAGAAAGGGACGGCUAACUACGUGCCAGCAGCCGCGAUAAUUC